GACGUCGGCACGAUCCUGAGCCGAGCCACGAGGGCCAGCCAGAGACCGAGCCGACGGUCGUUCGCACGAAGCGUAGAACGCUUGUUGGUGGUGCUCCGAGGCCGACGGCCCCGUACCCCACACGACGUUCCGUACCCAAGGGACCGAGCAUCAAGCCGUGGAUCGUCAGACCGGAGGCCCUUCUUACGGGGCCAACGGGAUGGGACACACGGCUCGCGCUGUAUGGGCCACCCCGCGUCGCUUGCCCGCAAGGAGCAGCAACGAGAGGGGGCUGAGGGACAAUUUAACCGACAUUCGAUGCCACMAUACGGGUAUCCAGCACAGGAAAACCAACACCGGCCGAGCACAUGCUCGCGCCAACAAAUGAAAAGACGUGGAUGAGAUGAUGUCGCUGCCCGAGCAGGGAUCCAUCACACAAAACACGUCAACCACCACUCACGCGCUCUAU
rnacentral:misc_RNA from 1 species